rnacentral:tRNA from 1 species
GCCACCUUAGCUCAGUCCGGCAGAGCAUCCGAUUUGUAAUCGGAAGCGCCUUGGUUCAAAUCCAAGAGGUGGCUCCA